rnacentral:rRNA from 1 species
UACAGAGGGUGCGAGCGUUGUCCGGAAUCACUGGGCGUAAAGGGCGCGUAGGUGGCGACCCAAGUCGAUGGUGAAAGCUCGCCGCUCAACGGCGAGUCGGUCACUGAUACUGGGUUGCUCGAGCACUGUAGAGGCAGAUGGAAUUCCGGGUGUAGCGGUGGAAUGCGUAGAGAUCCGGAAGAACACCGGUGGCGAAGGGCGGUCUGCUGGGCAGUAGCUGACACUGAGGCGCGACAGCGUGGGGAGCAACAGG